CCGAGCGAACGCCGCCGCCGCCAUUUCGUCUGGGCGCGGAGGGCUCGGGGCCGCCGGCGCUGAGGGGGCGCCUGUGAGAGAGCUCUUCCUGCCGGCCCCGGGCACCGCCGGCACCGCCCCGCCCGGUAUCAAAGAAAUCGGCACAGAGCUGCACCAGGACAAACAUCUCCUGUGAAGACACUAGAACGCAGUUCCAGUUGUGUGAAAUAGGAGACUGAACAUCUGGCCGCGAUUCACGACACCGGGUAGGGCCCAUGCUGGAGUAUUUUACUUGGGACUGUCUUGCAGAAAAGCACCCAUUCCCCUCGCCACCAAAAUGCGGGCAUUAGCAGUCAGCUCACCACAGCAAAAGCACAGACCCUGGGGCAUGCCUCUCACCAUCAUCAGUGCUAGAGGAGACACCUGGCAGUGUGCACGGGGUUGUCAGACCGGUAACAGCGAAGCGCACAAACGACUUCCUUGCCGCAGCUGUGAAGGAACAGGUAAGCAGGUUCCCCCCCGCACCAGGGCUGGGGAACAUUGCUCUACUACUUUCUGCAGAACUACUUUCUGACUUCUUCUGUCAGGGGAUGUGCAAAAGAGCCUCAUGAACUAGCUGCAGCUUAAACAAGAGAGAGUUAUUAAAGGGCAUUAGAAAACGCUGAGACAGCUCAGCCAGCUAAACGCACCAAUACACAACACCCAGGUAGAGACAUUUA